rnacentral:rRNA from 1 species
CAGUAGCCGCGGUAAUACGUAGGGUGCAAGCGUUAAUCGGAAUUACUGGGCGUAAAGCGUGCGCAGGCGGUCCGCUAAGACAGAUGUGAAAUCCCCGGGCUUAACCUGGGAACUGCAUUUGUGACUGGCGGGCUAGGGUAUGGCAGAGGGGGGUAGAAUUCCACGUGUAGCAGUGAAAUGCGUAGAGAUGUGGAGGAAUACCGAUGGCGAAGGCAGCCCCCUGGGCCAAUACUGACGCUCAUGCACGAAAGCGUGGGGAGCAAACAGGAUUAGAUACCCGCGUAGUCCCUGUCUCUUAUAA